CCUACGGGAGGCAGCAGUGAGGAAUAUUGGACAAUGGGCGCAAGCCUGAUCCAGCCAUGCCGCGUGCAGGAAGACGCAUCUAUGGUGUGUAAACUGCUUUUGUACGGGAAGAAACACUCCCUCGUGAGGGAGCUUGACGGUACCGUAAGAAUAAGGAUCGGCUAACUCCGUGCCAGCAGCCGCGGUAAUACGGAGGAUCCAAGCGUUAUCCGGAAUCAUUGGGUUUAAAGGGUCCGUAGGCGGUUUAAUAAGUCAGUGGUGAAAGCCCAUCGCUCAACGAUGGAACGGCCAUUGAUACUGUUAGACUUGAAUUACUAGGAAGUAACUAGAAUAUGUAGUGUAGCGGUGAAAUGCUUAGAUAUUACAUGGAAUACCAAUUGCGAAGGCAGGUUACUACUAGUGGAUUGACGCUGAUGGACGAAAGCGUGGGGAGCGAACAGGAUUAGAUACCCUGGUAGUCCACGCCGUAAACGAUGGAUACUAGCUGUUGGGCGCAAGUUCAGUGGCUAAGCGAAAGUGAUAAGAUCCCACUGGGGAGUACGUUGCAAGAAUGAAACUCAAAGGAAUUGACGGNUGAGACGAGCGAGACGACGACGAGGGAGGAGG
rnacentral:rRNA from 1 species